rnacentral:lncRNA from 1 species
AAGUCUUAUGUUUUUCCAUCAUCCAGUUUUUUCACCAACUCAAUUUAAUAUGCUAAUCUUUUUCCAACAAUAAUAAACACAUAUUGGCAUCAGAUGUGAAGAUUCCUAGGACUUACUGAAACCCAUAGUUACAUCAGCCAGCCUCGAUUUAGUUUCCUACAGAUGCCCUCCGUGAGCUACAACCAGAAUCAGUUCCAGGAUGGUCCUUUUAAGAAGAUAAAUGAUCUUCUUUGAUCUACAUCUUACCAGGCAAUAGUAACAAACAAAUAUAUAACUAUUGUAGACAUGACAUUGCAUACACUGGAAGAAUCCGUUUGUUCAAACAUUAACAUUGGCAUUUCCGCAAGCAAGUAAUAUGCAAGAAAGAUAGAGAAGUUUCCUACGCAUCACGCAGCGCAUAUGUACGAAUAUUCUUCCCAGCAUAAUUUUGGAACUUGAGAAACGACUUUUUUGAUUUAGUAGAUGGAACCCUCAGGAUUUUGAGAAGCAAAAGCAAUUACCAGCUACAGGGAGAGAGAUGCCGUAGGGAAGUCUUUGAACCUGUUUUGUUCUCCAUAUAAAUCUCCUCGUCGAAGAAGUUGGACACUUUGGAUUGCGAUGACACGAGCAAACAAGCUUAUUUAUCAGAUGCGACGUAGGACAUUCGUGUGGCAUCUUAGCGGCACAAAACCAGGCUAAGACGAAGGGGGAAGAGUCGUAGUUUUUGUA